CUAAACAAAAUUAACCCAGUGCGAUGUGACUGCAAAAAUUGAAGGCGAAAGAAUAAGAUCCGACCCGUGCAAGGAGAUAUUGCUCUUCCAAAAUCCCGAUCCUUUUCUAUCCUUGCUAUCUGCCAUACAAGUGCGUUUAAAAGUACGUGUGAGUGAGUGUCUGUGUGUGGUUGAGUGGUUUGAUCGAGGCCCUUACGAUCCGUGUGCGUGUGUUCUGGUUCGAUGUUGCGCGUGUACUACGCACAUCCUUGUGACCUUUCGGGUGUUGGUGUAGGUUACUGUAAAGUGUUUUAUCAAAGUGUGAAGAAAAGAUAGAUCAACUCACGUGAUAAAGUGCAAACCCUGAAGAGUCUUUCAGACGCGUGAAUUAUAAGCCAGCUGAAGCGGAAAAUCGAACGAUCGAAUUUGUAGCAGCAUGCGGCACGAUAUCUUCUGCCUUACCUAUCCGUUCUCGUGCCGAAGAUACUAAAAAUAAUCUGUUCCCCUUCGAAACGCCAUUUCUGACAUUUGCUGCCCAUCCUCCGACGAGUGAUCUGAUCGUUAGCGUACUACCUAUACAGCGACAAGUGUUUGCGUGUCAAUAGCUGGUAGUAGAUCCAGCUUCCGUCUAUAUACGACGAUUGCGACUCGGUGUAAAUGUGGAUAGCAUCGAAAACCACGACUUGACUACUACUACAUCCGUGUGCCGUCCGUGUGCCAUAACAUCCCUGUCAUCGAAGAAGCGGAGAGUGUAAUAUCUGACGACGCUUCAGUACGUCGUAAUUUGUGUUAAAUUUUCCCUUAACAAACACCAGCUUAAUUUUUGAAAUAGGAGCUGGUAUCUUUUCCCCUUUCUUUUUGCUGUACACUGAAACCACAUCAGCCAUGACCAGCAUAUUAACCGCGCCGGGCAAGUACCGGUCGCGGAAGGACUAUAGUACCGGCUCGAUCCCGACACUAGUAUCACUGGACGAAGAAUCUAGUCUCUCGACAACGACCACGACCUCGGUUUGUAGCGAUACCGUGCUGCUGCAUAGCUUACGGACGGCCAGCAGCUCGGGUACGAGCUCGAAUGGCAGCAACGGUAGCGGUAGCACUGGUAGUAGCACCAACAACAACAGCAACGCUAUGAACAUCAAAAAUGGACUCUCCACAAAACCGCCACGGCGCAGUUCGCUAGGUUUGGCCCUGCUCGGCGGUGGAUCGCGUAGCAGUAGUAGUUCCAAUGGUACGGAGAAAAGCAACAAACGACGAAGCUCGAUCGCGGUCGUCUUUCUUGGCGGUGGUCGUAAAGACUCCAAAUCGUCCGGAUCAUCCGUGUCCUCCGGCUCGAGCAACGGUCAUCAUCACAGCCACAACGGCCAUUCGAUCAGUACCAUCCCGGAAAAGUACAUCAAGACGGGUGAAUCGGAUAUCGAGAACGAUGCACCGAACACGGACACGUUCGUGAUGUUGGGCGAACCGGGUUCGAACGGAUCUCAGCAUCAGGACGCGUACGGUGGUGCCCCGGGAUAUGACAAGAAGCGCCGACGGUCAUCGUCCUGGCAAACAAAACUUGAACGACGACGCCGCAAGGGUAUGAUGGCAUCGCUCGAUGGGAGUGACACGAUGCAGCAAGACUCGGCCAGUUUUAGCAGCUUCGGAUCGGUGCACGGGCUCGAUUCGUCACCGUACGGGUCGGGACCUGCGGGCAAAUAUGGGCGCGAAAAGCGUCACUCUUGGUGGAACAUCUUCGUGCCGGAUAAUCUUAAGCAAAGGACACGUAGAGCUAGUCAGGAUGUGAUACUGUCCAAGAGCUCCGACACUCUCAGUAGCCCACCGUACCGAAGGAGCAAAUCCAGAAGUGUCGAUCAUGGACUAGCCGCACCGUUCGAUCUAGACUCGCUGCGCUCGAAGGUUGAGGGCAGAUUCGAAAGCAUCGAUCGACUAUCAAAAGAUGGCGAAAAGAAGCGAUCGAUGCCUACGAUACCCACAAUUACGUACACAGUAAAGGACCGGGACACGCUGACAUCCGUGGCGGCCCGCUUCGAUACGACACCGUCAGAAUUGACCCAGCUGAACCGUUUGGCCAGUUCGUUCAUCUACUCCGGCCAGCAGCUGCUCGUGCCAGACAAAAAUGCCAAAGCGAGCGCGGAUGGUGAAUCCGACACUAGCACGGAACGUUCCUCCAACAGUCCCACCGAUGGCCGCCGCAAGGGCUCGCAGGAAGAUUUGUGCCAGGAUGAGAAGGAUUUGCUGGAAGGACUUCGCCCGGGAUCACCGAAACCCGGUCACAUUGAGCGUGUUGCAUCACCGAACACCCAGAGCGGUGGCGGUGGUGCAGGCGGUGGAGGAGGAGGUGGCGGCAGUACGACCGGCAAUGCAGCUGGUGGAGAUGAGGACGAUCCCGUCACGAUUCAGCGCUUCUUAAAGAUCAACGUGCGGCACAUUACCGAUGGGCAGGGUGUGGUCGGUGGCGUACUGCUCGUCACCCCGAACGCGGUCAUGUUUGAUCCGAACGUAUCGGAUCCACUAGUCAUCGAGCACGGCCCGGAAAGCUACGGUGUCAUUGCACCGAUGGAGUUUAUCGUGAAUGCGGCCAUCUUCAACGAUAUCGCACAUAUGCGCGUGCAGGGUGCGGCCGGUGGUAAUGAGACGGCCGAGAAGGCGGAAAUCUACCAUCCGGUGCCGGUGGAGAAACCAUGCUCGCGCUGUGACACACAUUCCCCGGGUAAGGAUUCGCUGCUGGUGAAGGACGAAACAUUCCCGGAGCUGGGCGUUGGAUCGGUUGAGGGAUGCGACGAUCAGGAAUCGAUCUGCUCGAGCAACGAACGGGACGGGGACGCUUUUCCGAAGGCGUUCGAGCGCGAUCUCGUAACACCGAACAACCUGCAGCGCCUGCACGGCGAUUCGACGGAGAGCGGCGGCAGCUCGGUGGAACCGAAGGCACCCUCCACGGAGCCGCCCAUGUUCCUGUCGUACGAUCGUGACUCGUCGCAGUCUCACACGCCCAACUCCCUCGACCACAGUACCGGUGCGUCAGCGGAGCAGAAGCAGCAGGCAGGCGAUAAGACUGACCAAACCAAGACCAACAAUAUCCUGGAGGAUCCCACCAUGCGCUCCCUGGAGGAGCGACGGAGAAGUCUACUGGACCAGCACUGGGCAAUCCCCAGCAAGGACAGAUUAAAAUGUUAUUGCGAUCAAUCAUCAUCUCGAAGAUCUCUGGACGACGAAGAGGCCGCCAGCACGGGAAGUGGCACAACGGCUGCAUCCUCGUCGACGGCCGGUGCUAGCUCCAUCGGUAUGCCGAGCGCAGGCGGCCAUCAUCACGUACCGAUUCCUCCGAUCGCCGAAGCGGCUGGUGACGGACAGCUGGUGAAGCAAUCGUGCCACGAUUCGGGCAUCGACAUCCGUGACCCGGCCCACGGCACAUCGUUGACCGCGGGCAGCGGAACCACCGGUGGCAGCAGUGCGGCCAGUUCCGUGGCCAGCAUACCGCUAGUGGCACCGAUCGCAGCGAAAAAAGUGUACAGCGAUGCGGACAUUGUGCUGAGCGCCGACUGGGUACCGCCGCUAACCAUUGCACCCACCCACCUGCACGACAGCUCACCGCGUAGCAGUAGCUCCCUGGUGUCCUCGAACCAGAGCACCCUGUCCACGUUGACGUCCGAUGCCGGCGGACGCAAGAAAACGUCCAGCGUAAGCUUCAGCGUGGACGAGCACGAUCCUCACGGUGCUACCGGUCCGGCCGGUUCCGGAUCGCUCGACAAGGGCGGUGAAACGAAGAAGAACAAGAUGCUGAAGCGAUUGUCCUACCCGCUGGCUUGGGUUGAAGGAUUGACCGGUGAAGGAGGCAACAGUAGCCAUAAGUCGGAUUCGAUCGAAUCAGCACCCAACACAGGCGACUCUAACCAGAGUGUCUUUUCAAAAGUAUUUUCCAGCUCACCCAUCACAUUGGUUUCGGAGCUGGGUGGAAAUUUGUUUUUGUCCAAGACGCCGUCGGAAGACUCCGGAGGCUCGCCCGUUCCGCCACUGACACCGCACGAAGCGCAAGCAGGGGGGCCGGUUACGGCCGGACGAUCAUCCAUCGGUACAUUCAUUCGCCAGCAUCCCUCUGAGGGCAGCGUGAACAAGCAGAAGCCGGCACCACCAAAGCUGGAUUACCGCUCGAUGGUGUCCAUCGACGAUAUGCCAACACUGUUUGUCAGCUUCGACAUGAAGGCCCCAUUGUUUCCUCAACUUGAGAAACUUGAACUUAUCCCACGACCGGCCCGAGCGUGCCCGGACCCACCGAUGUAUCUUCGGUUGCGCAUGGGACGUAAGAUCGGCAAGAACACCCCACUACCGACGACGGUGAUGUCCUACGGCAAGAACAAGCUGCGUCCCGAGUAUUGGUUUAGCAUUCCGAAAAAUAAGGUUGAUGAGUUGUAUCGCUUCCUGAAUGCCUGGGUGCAACAUCUGUACGGGGAGCUGGAUGAAGCCACCAUCAAGGAGCGUGGCUUUGAACUCAUCCAGAUGGAUACCGAAUGGGCGGCGAAAACUGGCAGCCCGUCGAAGGACGGUCGUUCUGCCAGUGAAGGCGAAAUCUCCGAGUACACGCGCGAAUCAUGGGAGCUGCUAAAGGCCCCGUUCGUUAAAACCUACAACAUAAUCAAAAGUCAAACGGGAUCUAACGAUUUGGACGGUUGUGAGGUUCUGUCUAUGAGCACAGAUGACUACAGAAAAGCGACCCUGUUUGCGUCUGGUUCGUUCGAUCAGGACUUCCAGAUUCCGGACCUCGUCGGCCAAACAGAGAUCCUCAGCGAGGAGCAUAGGGAAAAGCUCUGCGCUCAUCUGCCGGCCCGUGCCGAAGGAUACUCCUGGUCGCUCGUGUUUAGCACCUCACAGCACGGCUUUUCGCUGAACUCUCUCUACCGAAAGAUGCACAAGCUCGAGAGUCCCAUACUGAUCGUGAUAGAAGAUACGGACCACAACGUGUUCGGUGCGCUUACAUCCUGCUCACUGCAUGUGUCCGACCAUUUCUACGGCACAGGCGAAUCGCUGCUGUACAAAUUCAAUCCCCACUUCAAGGUGUUCCACUGGAGCGGCGAGAAUCUGUACUUCAUCAAGGGCAACCCGGAAAGCUUGGCGAUCGGUGCCGGAGACGGAAAGUUCGGCCUGUGGCUGGAUGGUGAUUUGAACCAGGGCCGAUCGCAGCACUGCAGCACCUACUCGAACGAACCGCUGGCACCGCAGGAAGAUUUCGUCAUCAAAACGCUCGAAUGCUGGGCCUUCGUUUAAAACCUCCCCCAUUUCCUCCGAACCCUUCAGGAAGCGUAACGGGAUAGAGAAUGGGGGGUGCGGGGGGGACUGGAGUAUGAACUUGUUUCCCUCAUCCCAUCCCAUCACACACAUCGUUGCUGUCCCCACACUCGUGACACGUUGACGGCGCUACUAAAAGGCGCCUGCCCUGGUUUGGCUUCAAUAUUAGCUGCUUGCGGAUGUGUGUUGGCCGGAACGGGCCUGGUAGCUGGUCCUCGCUUCUGUGCGCAUCCGGUGUACCAUACAAACUGGACGAUGGAAACGGUUUUAAACGGCAGCCAGUGUCGUCGAGGUUUUGUGGUGUGUAGCAAGAGCGUGCAAGAUUCAAAUUAAACUAGUGAUAAACAGCAGCGAGCAGCAGUGCAACAACAAACACACGGACGUUUUACAUUAGAAUAUUUGAGACGAGAAGCGAGACGGACACAUACACACGUACGUAACCCAAUCCCAUCCCCCUCCCCCCACAAACACAGUUCACAAGUAAAUGUUGUUAUAAUUGUAGAGGGCGGCGUAGAGCAUGAUGUGGAAGUAUAUAUAUACAUAAAAAUUAGUAAAAGCGAUAGAAAUGAGACUAUAUAGGCGAGGAAGGCGAGAAGUAUAUACAUAUAUUUAAAAGAAGAAGAAGAAGAAGAUGAAGCAACAAAAACAACAUAAAGGAAAAUUGUAAUCAAAUGUAUCAAAUAUGUGCGCGUGUGAUGUAUUUCGAGUCGUGGUAUAUGGUAGGAAAUCGGAAGAGAGGAAGAAGAACAAACAAAACACGCUGCUGCAGCAACACAAAACUACAAACCGUCAUCCUUCUCCCCCCCCCCCCCCCAACUUCAUCACAAGAGACCAUCAGGUAGUUGAAUUAUGUAGACCAUUUCUCAUCCUCAUCACCCCCUCUUCAAACUGGUGUGACCCACGGAAUCAUGUAGUGCGCAUUUCCGUGCUUGUAGAAAACCUGCCCCCAAAUUCACCGCAUCCUAGUGAAAGGACAAGCGAGACACACACACACACACACGCGCUGACGCGCGUAGUAAUCCGCGCGCGCACUCACGUUAGCUGAAAAUUUAAAUCCAUUCAAAGGAAGAAAAACAAAAUGUAUUAGAUGGUGCUUAUUAGGAAUGUAGGGCAAGCAGCGCGCAGAGGAUAUAUCCGUCAAGCUUCGCGUGCCAAUUAGAAAGCACCGUUGUAUGUGUGUGUGUGUGUGUGUUUGCUUAUAGCUGUGGCCUGUGUGGUGGGUUCGGUUUAAUUAACCUGCCUGGGGACCGGGAGACCGAGAGACACUUCCACCCCAUAAACGCUUCGAAAAUGCUGUUAAAUCCUCAAAAGCAAAAUCAAAUUCGCGCGCGCGCUGGCUGGUUGUAUCAUUGGGCGCGGAAGCUAAUUGUGACCGCCCGGUGGUCGCCCGGUACAGCAGCUGCUUGCCCCAAGCAACAAUCCACAUCCACGGGCUGGAUCGCUGGCCGUUACUUGUGGGCUGUUAAUGUUAAUAAUUUGUGUACGCGUGUCUCUCUCUCUCUUCUCUCUGUGCGGGAAAAUUAAACGGCAGACAACAAAACACACACCACCAUACACGGUUCUUUUCUUGCGAGUGGCCAGCAAGGGCAAUAAGAAUACUAAUCAGGCGCUCUAAACCGUAGCAGCAGCAGCAUACAAAUACAACUAAGCCUCUCUAUUGUUGAACGUUUAAAUACAUACGGUCGGGCGCGCGUGAAUCCUAAAAUUUUGAAAGCCCCAAACACCACACACCAGAAACAGUCGGACAGGAAACUGUAGAAGGGUUAGUUUGAAUUCUGGGAAUCGUUUUGUUGAUCGUCAACUCUCUCUCUCUCCCUCCUGACUCCUGUUCCAGGUAUGCAAGAAGAGAACGAGCAAUGCAAACAAAAGGGACUAGGGACAGAUAAAUUAGGCGAAAGCGAUUCGAAAACAUUUGAAAACCACCCGGGCCAUCCGUAAGUUUUGCUUUACAGUUUGUUUUUUAUUUAUGUAUUAUUGUAGUACGCGCGACUGCUCGGUCGGUCUUGUGGGGUGAGGGGUGGCGUUUGAUUUUUUUUCCCGCUACUUUUGAACAAUUCGACUACAUAGUACAAAAGCGUCCGGAUACAAGUCCGCUCAGUGCUCUGAGUGCAUUCAACGGUCGACAUUCAAAUUGGCAGGCGGCGGCAAGCCAUCCAAAACACUCAAUCUGUUUCUCCUGCUUCCGGUACCUUAUAUUGUAAAUAUUGCUAUGGAUUCAGUUGUGCAAAUGAGUUGGCAUUCCCAUUUUUUUUUCUAUUUUUUUAUUGUGACACUUUGUGAUAUAUUUCUCUAUCUAAUUCUGGCUAUUAAUUUGCAUUACGGCAGUUCGGAAAUAUACGUUGUGCGCAUCCGUAGCAAGGUGUGCGUGUGUUUUAUGUGAGCUCUUAUUUAUUAAAAAAAAAUAAACAGCCCCCCCUCUACACACUCCGUUCAGUAAAGAAGGCGCUUCCGCCCCCCCACCCCCCCAUAUACGUCCCCACCCAUCCAUCGAUCCAUCUGCGCAGCCCAUGUUUGAUGUUUUUGUGCGUAUUAUGUUACGUUUAAUGUAGCCGUUACUCGAGUCAAACACUGUUAAUAUUUUAACAAUUUUUUGUAAGUGAUAAGAAACACACACACAGACAUACAGACACACGCAUGUGUUUCACAGGCGAAUAAAUUCAUUUCUUUUAAUUUAUUGGUUAAAUCGUUUCUUUUUGUUUUGCUUUAAAAUACUUUUUUAUUGUGUUUUAUUAUAAAAACUGGCUCACAUUUCGCGAUGCUUAAAUAAGCAAGCCCUUCCUUAGCUGAAAGAAAAGGAGAAUACAAGAGCGUCUGGACCACACUGGCACGAUCGAAUGCGUACACACCCGACAUGACACAAUACUAACCUUUAGAUACACAAAAAAGGAUGCUAGUUUUGUAUGUUUGUUGUAAUAUGCCUAGUAAAGAGAGAGAGAGCGUGUGCAUGCGAAAAAAGGUAAAUAAAUGGGUUUUUAUAUGAGCUGUGUACAAUAAAACUUGGUGAGCAUUAGUAAACUCAAUAAUGCAGCAAAAAGCUAACAUUUUCUGGAACCACUUAAUACUAAAGAUUCAGUUCAUUUUUUUUAAAUUUAGUUUUAUACAGUUUAUUUAGCUCGACAACACACUACACUUUAAAGCGACCAACCAAUUACCGCUUUCGAAAGGUAUUUAUUAAUUUUCUUCUGUUGAGUUUGCACGCGUAAGUCUUAUUAUCCUAUCUGUACACAUUGUUUUUUUUUUCCAGAACACAACACGAUCACCACCACCACCACCACGCUCAGUAAGGCACGCAUUAUCGCUAGUAGAGAGGUCAUUUUCAUUACCUACUUCACUACUACUAUCCAUGUUUGUUAAAUGGUAGAAAGCAAAUGGUAGUAGUGCAAACGCGUAGUAUCGCUAUGACUAGCGUGAGCGAAGACCCUACGCCGCCUAGACACACGAUAGUAUGUCGUUCUAAUCCCAACUUUAAAAUAAUCCCUAUCGUUCGCUCGUCCUAGUGGAAAGGUAUUUAUAGGCACGUCAGAGCAGACUCUAUCCAAAACGACAAAAAAAACAACAAAAAAACGGGAGCAAAAACAAUUAUUGCAGGAUGUUAUUGGAGCCGCACCAAAUUAGUAUGCGCCGUGCAGCAGCAGAAUCGAUGCGCGAGCUCUAUAUAUCCCGUUGAUUAAAGUUUUGGGAAAGUUUUAGACACAUCUUUAACGUACCUCAUUUCUGCGCGCGAUAACUAUGACGCUGUAGGUAGAAGAUAGGCACGCGAAAUAAGAGAGAGACACACAUCACCGACACCGGAACCAACAACAAUAAAACUCACAGAAACAGGACACUCGGCCGAAAUCUUUAAACUUAUGAUACACCGUAACCCUUUGUAUAACGGCUCAUACCGGCAGUGAGUGACUGGGCGUGUUAAUGGUCCAAAGGAAAUCCUACCGCAAGAGGAAUCACGGGGAGGAAUCACGAUCCGUUCGUGUACUAAAGUUUGUAGGCUAUUUUACAACACUGGGACGGAGCAGCAAGUGUCGAAGGAACGCGCGAGGGAACUUGUAACUUACUGCUCUAACCACUACUAACCACUUUAAAUAAUCUUUGAAUGACUUAGCUGCUAGGAGUUGUACGAGAAAAAGGGGUGAGAGGCGAGACACUCAGAUGAUUGGGUGGUCUGAACGAAUUUACCACACAUGAUCGAUAGCUCGAAGGAAAACUCGUGAGCGAUAAACGAAAUGCUACACUGCAAACAGCUUUAGAACGGAAUGGAACAUUUCUACUAUUUUCUUCGCCGGAAAAAAAACUGAUCCCGGUGGCCUCCUACCUUUCCCCUUUUUGAGAAGAGAAACAAACACUCACAUUUUAGCCAAUUAUUCCAACCUUUUGACACUAGGUAUCGCGUCUCGAUCAUCGAACGAGGGUUGUUGUUUUCUAAGCUAGCAAGUACUUCCCACGGAGGUGCUUAACUUCUUUUCUACACCGGAUCGCGGAACAUCGACUAGCAAAAUUCUAUCGUAAACUGUACACCUUUCCACCACACACCGAGAGAAGGAAGGAGGAUAUAUGAGGGAAAGGAGUUCGCAGAAAAGGGGCACGUAGGAAAAACUCGGAUCCCAUUCGCUGGUUGUCCCUUUACAUUACAGACACAACACACAACAGUCGAAAUUGCGAUUACAUAUAAUAGAAAGAUAGAAAACAAAGGGUGUGUGUGUGUGCUAUAUAUAUAUAUAUACCUACGUUUAUAUACAUAUAUUUCAUAUGACAACCAAAAAAAGGAAUCUCAAAACAUCCCCCAAAGCAAGCUAAAGUUAAUACAAACAUACCUAAAACACAAAAGUGGUUUAAAAUAUGUAUAAACGGAAAAGCGAUACAUAAUUUAAAAAAAAAAACUGUUAGUGAAAUGUUAAACAAAAACAGAAAAGUUAUAGAAGUGAUGUAGAAGUAACGUGGCGUAAAAGUAAAAAGCUAAAACAAAACAAACAAAAAACGAUAAACAAUCUUUAAAAAGAAAAAAACGAACAACAAACAAGUCAAACUAUGAUAUGAUAAAUAAAAAACAUUCCCAGUACUAGCAGAAAACGUCAGAGAGAGGGAGAGAGAGAAAGCGUGCGAAGAAGAAAACUGCUGUCAAUUACAAACGUAGAGACUGGAAUAAUAAUAUUAAAAAUAAUAAAAAAAACACACACACACAACAACAACAACAAGUAAACCAAAUCGAGCGAAAGCAGAAAACAAAAGCAAGUGAAAGGCACUCAAAAUAGCACAAAAGAAGAAGAAGAAAAACAGAGGAGGAAAUAGUGUGACGGGCGGAAAGGCGAAAACUUUAAGCAAAUUUGAUCUCAGCCGAGAAAGGAGGACGAAAGAGAGAAGGGAACCGGAGAUGCUAUAAAUGUUGAAUAUUUAAAAAUUAGCAGCAUAACACUCAUUACAAACAAACAAAUACCACGGAAACGACCAGUUAGUAGAGAAUGAUGCGUUCAGUUUCACCAUCACAAGCAGCUGAGUGCAGUGGUGUUUUUGUGUUUCUGUGGCAAGGCGUAACAAAAACGUUAAGAACAGUUAAAUCAUGUAUCAUGUAAAAUGGUAUUUAGCAAAAGAUUUAAUUAGACAAACAAACAAAAGGCGUAAACAAAAAGCGCACGCUUUCAAACUCGACAAGAAGGUGUAAACGAUCGCAGUAAGCCACGAGGAGUUUGGUGAUGCGUUUAUACUCAACACCUCAACGCUUACCUGACGACCAUUCAUCGCAUCCUGUUUCGUGUCUGAUGUGAGUGUAUGUGUGUGUGGUGGAAGAUAAAAUGCAAACGCUUGCUACGAUUGUUGUUGGUGACAAUUGGUAAACACGACCGAGAGGAGAACGCAACCGAAAUAAGCGCAAUUUUGCAAAACAUUUCCAUUAAUUUCCAUCUCGCGUUAAAUCGAAACAAAAAAGCUGGUACGCAAGGACGAAACUACACGGAAUCAAAUUAUCACCGUCAAUUAAUUAGCUGCUUUUGAGACCUCACCUGUCGCCCAUCCAUUUCCAUGUGCAUUUCCAGGGGAAGAUCCCCCCUCCGACGGAAGGUGCUAGUCCUGAAGUCGCCCAGCUCCAGCGGUUGUUAGCUCGUUGUUGAUUAUUGAUUAGCGAAUGCAUUCUUGUUUGUGCGUGUGUGUUUUAGAGUUUGUGCGGCACAGCCUCCUUCAGGUACCGCGGUGUUGCCGCAUAUGUUACAAAGCAAAAGGAAAACAAAAUAUUAUCACAUUAUACAACAAACAAACAAAAAAAAGAAGGGGAGAAAGAGGCGCAUACACUUAGCCGCUUAAUAAUGGGCCCUCUAUUUACAAAACGACAGCAACAAGGCGUUUGGCAUGUAACUAAAGAAAGCCUAGAAAAGAUUAUUGCUGAUGCGAAAGCAUAAUUGUAUCACCCUCCAGAAACAAAAUGGCGUGAGUUAAAAGUGUGUGUGUAUUUUUGAAACAAUUGGCUUUUGGUGGCUUCUAAGGCAAGGGAGAGAAGCAGCAGGAUAAAACGCUUAGAAGCAUUUUACUCGUAAUGCCAGUAGGAAGGAGAGAAAAUCCAUUCAAGGAUCAUCACUAGAAACCACAUUUAGCAAGCCUCUGCUCGCCACUCAUUGUAAGCCCGGACCCGGUCCCGGAUUUUGUAAAAAAACUGCUCACAAAUUUAGAGAAAGGUUGAUGAAGAAAAAUGGCACAGCAAACAAGCAGAAAAGCCGUAGGAAAAACCACAUCAUUGUUUAUGCACCUGUUGCAACUGCUGCUGGAAGAAAAACAAACAAAAAAGGUCGUGUGCAUGUGUGUGUGUGUAGCCUUUUUCCGCCGCAAAAUGCAGCGCUGUAAUAUGUGUAUGUGUUUGUUCUGUGUACGUGUGUUGAUGAUGUUACAUUAAAUGGAAAUGGUAGUGUGCUUUCCAUUUUCCACAGUGGAAAACUGCAUCACGCAAAAACGGAAACAUUAUUAAACUCACUCACACACACAGAGAGAAAGAACACAUAAACAAAACGAAAACAAACAAGAAAAUAGAAAAAAAGUUUGUGCAUGUAUUGGAAAACCUCUCCCGCCCAUAUACACGGAACG